rnacentral:misc_RNA from 1 species
GAUGAAGAACGUAGUGAAAUGCGAUAAGUAAUGCGAAUUGCAGAAUUUCCGUGAGUCAUCGAAUCUUUGAACGCACAUUGCGCCCCAUGGUAUUCCGUGGGGCAUGCCUGUUCGAGCGUCAUUUACCCCCUCAAGCUCCGCUUGGUGUUGGGCGUCUGUCCCGCUUCGCGCGCGGACUCGCCCCAAAGGUAUUGGCAGCGGUCGUGCCAGCUUCUCGCGCAGCACAUUGCGCUUCUCGAGGCACCGGUGGGCCCGCGUCCAUCAAGCUCACCCCCCCAGUUUGACCUCGGAUCAGGUAGGGAUACCCGCUGAACUUAAGCAUAUCAAUAAGCGGAGGA